CAACGCUGGCGGCGUGCCUAACACAUGCAAGUCGAACGAGUCCAACCCGGUGGCAACACUGGUGAAGACCGAGUGGCGAACGGGUGAGUAACACGUGAGCAACUGCCCCAAAGACUGGGAUAACCCCGGGAAACCGGAGUUAAUACCGGGAUACCCCCACCGGGUCUCAUGGCUGGUGAGGAAAUGGAUUCCGCUUUGGGAGGGGCUCGCGGCCUAUCAGCUUGAUGGUGGGGUAACGGCCCACCAUGGCACCGACGGGUAGCUGGUCUGAGAGGACGAUCAGCCACACUGGGACUGAGACACGGCCCAGACUCCUACGGGAGGCAGCAGUGGGGAAUCUUGCGCAAUGGGCGAAAGCCUGACGCAGCAACGCCGCGUGAGGGACGAAGGCCUUCUGGGUUGUAAACCUCUUUCAGCAGGGACGAUGAUGACGGUACCUGCAGAAGAAGCCCCGGCCAACUACGUGCCAGCAGCCGCGGUAAUACGUAGGGGGCGAGCGUUGUCCGGAAUUAUUGGGCGUAAAGAGCUCGUAGGCGGCUUGGCAAGUCACGUGUGAAAUCUCCAGGCUCAACCUGGAGAUGCCACGUGAUACUGCCAUGGCUUGAGUCCGGUAGGGGACCAUGGAAUUCCUGGUGUAGCGGUGAAAUGCGCAGAUAUCAGGAGGAACACCAGUGGCGAAGGCGGUGGUCUGGGCCGGUACUGACGCUGAGGAGCGAAAGCGUGGGGAGCGAACAGGAUUAGAUACCCUGGUAGUCCACGCCGUAAACGUUGGGCACUAGGUGUGGGGCCCUAUCGACGGGUUCCGUGCCGCAGCUAACGCAUUAAGUGCCCCGCCUGGGGAGUACGGCCGCAAGGCUGAA
rnacentral:rRNA from 1 species